AACGAACGCUGGCGGCAGGCUUAACACAUGCAAGUCGAACGCCACCUUCGGGUGGAGUGGCAGACGGGUGAGUAACGCGUGGAAACGUACCUUUUGUUUCGGAAUAUUCCCGGGAAACUGGGAGCAAUACCGAAUGUGCCCUGAGGGGGAAAGGUUUAUCGGCAAAAGAUUGGUCCGCGUUAGAUUAGGUAGUUGGUAGGGUAAAGGCCUACCAAGCCUACGAUCUAUAGCUGGUCUGAGAGGAUGAUCAGCCACAUUGGGACUGAGACACGGCCCAAACUCCUACGGGAGGCAGCAGUGGGGAAUAUUGGACAAUGGGCGCAAGCCUGAUCCAGCCAUGCCGCGUGAAUGAUGAAGGCCUUAGGGUUGUAAAAUUCUUUCACCGGGGACGAUAAUGACGGUACCCGGAGAAGAAGCCCCGGCUAACUUCGUGCCAGCCGCCGCCGUAA
rnacentral:rRNA from 1 species